AAACCGAGCCGUGAAAAUGUCCCAUUAGACACAGAGCGGUUAGAGAAAGGUUUCCAAACACAUGCACACUGAUCCUCCUCUCUCGGCGCCGUGGCUUUGUCAUCGUGUUUGGCUCACGACGGUGACGUCUUCCUCCGGUCGCAGCAAGAAAAAUCCCUCGCAAGGUUCUGAAUCCUCAUCAAAGCCGAGACACGGAGAGAAAAGCUCUUCUGCUGAGGAAGGAGCUCAGACUCUGCUGCUUCUCUUUAUCUGAGGCCUCAGCAGCGAAGCUGUGGAGGUCAGAAGUUUAGCGCUAGCGUUUCUGCCUUGUCCCUCUUCAUUUCCUCACAUUCUCCUCGUAUGAGCUGAAGAGUCUCGUCUUUCUGGGUCACCACGCGGCCUCAACAUCCCCAAAUGAGUGUUGGGAGACGCCGCUGAGAGGAAACCUGCUGAUGCUGUGAAAGUCACGGAUGUCUUUAAUCGGAUCUGAACAACAGCUCGUGUUAAAGCCGUGACCGGAGGGAAUGCUGGUCUCUGGGCAACACUCUCCCAAACUGGAGGCCGAGCAGGUGCUGAGGACUUGUGCUGGUGGGUGGCGGCCACGCUUGGCACCAGAGUCGCUCCUAUUGGUCAGUGCUGCUAUUUUUACCAGCGAACCCAACCCAUGAAAAAUAUGGCCCGAAGAAAAGUUCCACACUGAUGACAAAUGAAACUUCACUGAGCCUCACAGAGACCGUUUCAGUUUAAUGAUGAACAUUUUGAGCUAAUUUCCAUGGAAAACAUGUACACCGUCCUUUAUUUAGGUUAAUUCGUUAAAUUGCUGGAUAAUGACGGUUUCCAUGGGCGACACUAAAAAAAUACACCCAAACAAAGACUUGAUGAUGCUGGAGCCAUAAUAAACCAAUUGGUACGGACAAUUUAUGUAAAAUUAACAGCAGGCAUCUUGUUUAAGGAUAAUGUAGCAGCUACUGCUAGCGCCGUUAACCCUCUAUAGCACAGGUGUCAAACAUAUGGCCCGCGGGCCAGAAGCGGCCGCCAGAGGGUCCGAUCUGGCCCACGGGAUGAAUUUGCAAAGUGCAAAAACUACACUGAAGAUAUUAACUGCAAAUUUUCCGACAAAAUGUUCUACUUCCUUUCACACAAUUUUAGUAAGAGCUGUGGACAUAACACAACAUUGAGACACACAGAAAUUGCACUUCUUUUUCUUAAGAAACAUCUAGUUGUUCAAAGAUUUCGUAAUAGUGCAGGUCAUUAAAUGUGAACACUUUCGUAAUGUUCUUCUUUUUGCUAAAACAAAGGGAAACAUUUGAAGUUGUCAUUAUUUGAAGGUCUGGCCCCUUGAGAUCAUGUUGUUCUGUA